GCGAUGACCAGUUCGGCCAGAACUGCCAGAAGCGUUGUUCCGACACCAAUCCCGACCCUGAGUCGAAAACCUGUUCUGGCAUCAUGAUCUGUCUUCCCGAUCCUUAUGGCUGUUCUUGCGGAACUGGGUUCAAAGGUCCCUUCUGCAACGAAACGUGUUCUCCACACGAAUACGGCGCCGACUGCAAUCAGAACCGCAUCUGUUUCUGCAAAAUGGGCAGCACUUGCAAUGGCUUCACUGGAACCUGCUUACAAGACAAUGGACAAUGUCUCGACGGAUGGAAGAACUCACCUUACUGCGAUAUCAGCUACCCCCUUCUUAGGGACAAACCCGAGCUUGAAGAUGUAACAGACACCAGAGCCAAAGUGUCGUGGGACGCCUGGAUGUCUGGACCAGAAACAGGAGAAGGAGUACCUAACGCGUACUUGCUACAGC